rnacentral:ribozyme from 1 species
UUUUUUUUUUUUUUUUUUUUUUUUUUUCAAAU